GACGAACGCUGGCGGCGUGCUUAACACAUGCAAGUCGAACGGAAAGGCCCUGCUUUUGUGGGGUGCUCGAGUGGCGAACGGGUGAGUAACACGUGAGUAACCUUCCCUUGACUUUGGGAUAACUUCAGGAAACUGGGGCUAAUACCGGCUAGGAGCUCCUGCUGCAUGGUGGGGGUUGGAAAGUUUCGGCGGUUGGGGAUGGACUCGCGGCUUAUCAGCUUGUUGGUGGGGUAGUGGCUUACCAAGGCUUUGACGGGUAGCCGGCCUGAGAGGGUGACCGGCCACAUUGGGACUGAGAUACGGCCCAGACGCCUACGGGAGGCAGCAGGGGGGAAUAUUGCACAAUGGGCGGAAGCCUGAUGCAGCAACGCCGCGUGCGGGAUGACGGCCUUCGGGUUGUAAACCGCUUUCGCCUGUGACGAAGCGUGAGUGACGGUAAUGGGUAAAGAAGCACCGGCUAACUACGUG
rnacentral:rRNA from 1 species